UACGUAGGGGGCUAGCGUUGUCCGGAAUCAUUGGGCGUAAAGCGCGUGUAGGCGGUCCGGUAAGUCCGCUGUGAAAGUCGGGGGCUCAACCCUCGAAUGCCGGUGGAUACUGUCGGGCUAGAGUACGGAAGAGGAGAGUGGAAUUCCUGGUGUAGCGGUGAAAUGCGCAGAUAUCAGGAAGAACACCCGUGGCGAAGGCGGCUCUCUGGGACGGUACUGACGCUGAGACGCGAAAGCGUGGGGAGCGAACAGG
rnacentral:rRNA from 1 species